AGGAUGAACGGAAGGUUUUUAUAGAUGAGAAGUUGGGAAGGUAGGAUAUUGAAGGAAAUUUAAUGUAUAUCUGUACCUAAGUAAAUUUAAGCAUUGUCAACAAAAACGAUUCUGAGUGGAGCUCGGUUGAGAAUAUUAAUCAGGGGCGUCUUUGGGUUAAUUCCGUGGAGAGGACGGUUAACAGUUUUUGCUCUUGAAUACCACUGCUUUGAUCAACAAAAACUCAAAACUUUAAUGUCUGAUAUCAUUUCAACUUAUAUCAGCUUAGAAGACAGGUAAACUGUACAAAUGCAGUAAAACAGUACA